rnacentral:lncRNA from 1 species
CAUGUGUGUUUAUUUUGGGUAUCGAACUGGAGCCGAUAAGAAACUUCCUUCAGGUGUCGGACUACAUCGAUGUUCCAAACACUUAACUUGUAAGCAUAAGUGGAUCAACAUGACCCUUCACGAAUACUUAUUUUGUAUGUACCUGAGGAGUUACGUGUUUAUUUAUGUAUAUUAAGUUGCGUUACAUUUUAUGCAAAGUUAUUUCGUAUAUAUUAUCUUGUAUAUAAUAUAGUAAAGAAGUAACUCAAUAGGUGAAGAAGUCAAGAAUUAUUCCUAAGUGCAAGAACCUAAUCAAUGCAAUUAAUUACAUAUCAUGGCGUAGUCGUGGAUUUUAAGUUAUAAAAAUUGAUAAGAGAAAAUCGUUGGACGAGGUGAUGACAUAAGGAAGCGAUCACCUAGUAAGAAGGCUCAAGUAACCAGAGCUGUUAAUAGCAUAAACAGUUUGUGUAAGUCCCUACUAGCACAGAAAACAUCUGAAGGUAAAUUAUUCUGAGAUGAAGCAAGGAUUGGUCUAUCAUCCUAUGCCUAUAAAUCAUUGGAAGAUCAUUAUAUGGAAUUGAUGGACAUAGAUCCAGAUUAAACAGAUGAAUACAAUA